UACGUAGGGUGCAAGCGUUAAUCGGAAUUACUGGGCGUAAAGCGUGCGCAGGCGGUGAUGUAAGACCGAUGUGAAAUCCCCGGGCUUAACCUGGGAACUGCAUUGGUGACUGCAUUGCUAGGGUAUGGCAGAGGGGGGGUGGAAUUCCACGUGUAGCAGUGAAAUGCGUAGAGAUGUGGAGGAACACCAAUGGCGAAGGCAGCCUUCUGGGCCAACACUGACGCUCAUGCACGAAAGCGUGGGGAGCAAACAGGA
rnacentral:rRNA from 1 species